rnacentral:rRNA from 1 species
UGUGUAGGCGGUUGUUUAAGUUUGGUGUGAAAUCUCCCGGCUCAACUGGGAGGGUGCGCCGAAUACUGAAUGACUCGAGUGCGGGAGAGGAGAGUGGAAUUCCUGGUGUAGCGGUGAAAUGCGUAGAUAUCAGGAGGAACACCGGUGGUGUAGACGGCUCUCUGGACCGUAACUGACGCUGAGACACGAAAGCGUGGGUAGCAAACAGGAUUAGAUACCCUGGUAGUCCACGCCCUAAACGAUGCAUAUUUGGUGUGGGCAGUUCAGUCUGUCCGUGCCGGAGCUAACGCGUUAAAUAUGCCGCCUGGGGAGUACAGUCGCAAGGCUGAA